UUAGUAAAUCGCCUUAUCGUACCGACGUUAAGAGUCGGUAAGGAAAGUCCGAACACCGUAGUGUAACAUAAUGGUUAACAGCCAUCAGUUGAAAGACUAGGAAAAGUGCAACAGAAAGGAUGUACAGGUAAUGCUGUAGUGAAACCAGGUAAACUCUAUGUGGUGCAAUGUCAUGUAAACUAACGCCUCGAUAGCUAUUGAGAAAGAGCGACACGUUCAAUGUUAGAGGGUAGACAGCUAAAGUUUACUAGUAAUAGUAAAUGCAGAUAAAUGAUAAGGGUCAAGACAAUAACUGUCUUGAUACAGAAUUCGGCUUAUAGAUUUACGUAGUUA
rnacentral:RNase_P_RNA from 1 species